AGCCAACGAAAAAAAAUCGCUAAUACGCGCACACAUCUCCGCCUCCCCCACUCCCAACUCCCUCCCCACGUCUCCGCCUCCCCCACUCCCAACUUCCUACCCAUCCCGAUCCCGAUCCUCGCCGCCGUCGCCGGUUGUGUUCGUCGCCCCGUCACCUCUACAUCCGCUGCCGCACGCCUUCUGGAUCGGUGAGGGGUGCCUCCCGUCCCUUGCGCCCGCCUUGGUAGAGAGAGAGGGGGAGAGAAAGAGAUAAGAGAGAGGGAGGAGCGGACAGCAGCGGGAGGAGGGACGGCCCCUCCAUGUGGCUGCCGCUGUUGGCGUGCUCGGUCAGGAGGAGGAGGCCGCCUCCAUCUGGCCGCCGUGGUUGCGAGCGCCUGUCCAACCUACCCACAACGUCGCCGCCACCGCAUAGUGUCAUCCGUCGCACGAGCCGCGGAGAAGCAGGCUUCCUGUCGGUCGGCCGGUUGCGAGCUUGCGAUGGGCGCCACGUCGUACGAGAGGCUGUCGAGCCCCGUCGCCGGGAGCGGCCGC
rnacentral:lncRNA from 1 species